UACGUAGGCAGCAAGCGUUGUUCGGAAUUACUGGGCGUAAAGCGUGUGUAGGCGGUUGGGUAAGUCUGGUGUGAAAUCUCCCGGCUCAACUGGGAGGGUGCGCCGGGAACUGCCUGGCUGGAGUGCGGAAGAGGAGAGUGGAAUUCCCGGUGUAGCGGUGAAAUGCGCAGAUAUCAGGAAGAACACCAGUAGCGAAGGCGGCUCGCUGGGCCAUACCUGACGCUGAGACGCGAAAGCGUGGGGAGCAAACAGG
rnacentral:rRNA from 1 species